rnacentral:rRNA from 1 species
GUGCUUAACACAUGCAAGUCGAACGAUGAACCUCACUUGUGGGGGGAUUAGUGGCGAACGGGUGAGUAACACGUGAGUAACCUGCCCUUAACUCUGGGAUAAGCCUGGGAAACUGGGUCUAAUACCGGAUAUGACUCCUCAUCGCAUGGUGGGGGGUGGAAAGCUUUAUUGUGGUUUUGGAUGGACUCGCGGCCUAUCAGCUUGUUGGUGAGGUAAUGGCUCACCAAGGCGACGACGGGUAGCCGGCCUGAGAGGGUGACCGGCCACACUGGGACUGAGACACGGCCCAGACUCCUACGGGAGGCAGCAGUGGGGAAUAUUGCACAAUGGGCGCAAGCCUGAUGCAGCGACGCCGCGUGAGGGAUGACGGCCUUCGGGUUGUAAACCUCUUUCAGUAGGGAAGAAGCGAAAGUGACGGUACCUGCAGAAGAAGCGCCGGCUAACUACGUGCCAGCAGCCGCGGUAAUACGUAGGGCGCAAGCGUUAUCCGGAAUUAUUGGGCGUAAAGAGCUCGUAGGCGGUUUGUCGCGUCUGCCGUGAAAGUCCGGGGCUCAACUCCGGAUCUGCGGUGGGUACGGGCAGACUAGAGUGAUGUAGGGGAGACUGGAUUCCUGGUGUAGCGGUGAAAUGCGCAGAUAUCAGGAGGAACACCGAUGGCGAAGGCAGGUCUCUGGGCAUUAACUGACGCUGAGGAGCGAAAGCAUGGGGAGCGAACAGGAUUAGAUACCCUGGUAGUCCAUGCAAUANACGUUGGGCACUAGGUGUGGGGGACAUUCCACGUUUUCCGCGCCGUAGCUAACGCAUUAAGUGCCCCGCCUGGAGAU